rnacentral:ncRNA from 1 species
AUUGUGCGACUGACGGGAGUGGAUUAACCACAAGGGAGCACAGUGAAAGAACGCCGACCGUCUGGGCAAAC